AUUUAUUUUGGCAGAAGAUUUGACAUUUGAGAAAGAAAAAAAGGGGUUGAGCGAAGAACCAGAGGCGGCGAAGCAAAGGGAUCUGAAUCGAAGGCUGAAGUCCUUGUAUUUCAACAACUUUCCGGCGAUGUUCAUUGCGCAAUGGCAAGAACAAAUACCUGAUUGACAUGGUUAGAUUUAAUAUGCAAAAUUUUAUGAAAUUUCAAUUUUAUUUGUUGGGUUUUGCUGUAUUCUUGUUUUCAAUCAGAGUGGAUGUUUUUUCACCUAUAUCUGGGUGUGUUCUUAAAUGUGAAAAAAAAAUGUAAAAAAAAAAAUCUUGGCAUAACUAAUUAAAAUUUGGGGGUGAUAUUAUGUGUUAUAUUGUAGAAAAAUAUCGAUUCAUGAAUUUUCUCUUAAUUAUUCACACAUAUAAUUUUAGAAUUUCAUUUGAAUGAUGUGUGAAGAACCGCUUAUGCUAUGUUGGGUUAUGAAUUGAGACUAGUGUUGUUGUAAGCUUUAUUGAAUGUUUGAUUAUAACUCGAUUUUUUUUAAUAUUUGUAUAUGUUUGUAUUCUUAUUUUUCCGUUUUUAUUUUUUCAACACUUUUUAAAAAUAUUCUGAAUUGGAAGUAUUUUAUAUGGCAGAUUUGUUAUGAUUCAUAUUAAUUACGAGAAAAAACAUGUAUUAGUAAGGUCAAAUUCGUGUAUAUCUUUUAAGUUUUGUAUACUGUGGACUUGGUUGUAUUAUUUUUUUUUAUUAGUAUUGUGAAUUAUCUAUAUUGUUUAGUUUGAUAUUAUGGUGUUUCGUUCUAUACGGUGGGAAUUUUGAAAUAAUGUGUUUCCAAAAAUUCAUAUGAAUUUUGAAUUGUUUUNAUUAAAGAGACCUAUUAAGAAUAGAUUUCUUGUAGGCUUUGUACGUUACGAGUAUUCGUACUUCUGUUCCGAUUCAGAGAUAACGUUAAACGACAGGCUUUGCCUAUACAGGUGGGCUUAUUUUCCAAAUGUAUGAUUGAGCUAAUGAGCUUAAAUGUUUCGUGAAAUAUAAACUGUUUAUCCAAUAAAUAUUUUUGUGCACUCUGCUCUGUUUAAGGCUCGCCACAACGAAUCAAUUGAGGUUCUCUUAUAGCCUAACACGUUAUUUGAGAAUUGUGUACACCGUUAGCUGACUCGGUGGGUUGAUCUCCAUUCGGGCAAACUAAGAGGCGUUAUAAGGAUGCUUGCUGGAUGUGUUCCGAAGCAUAGAAUGUAAGGGCCUGCCUGGGUAUCGUCCCGAGGUCAAAAGUAAACUUGUCUAGGUUACGCCCUCAGUUCAAGUAAAUGGGAGAAAUGGAUCCGUCGGUGGCUAAAAGGUCCGGGAUCAUAGCGAGUAACAGAAAUGAGUGUGUACAUCUGCGCGACAAACUAUAUAUAUAUAUAUAUAUAUAUAUAUAUAUAUAUAUAUAUAAAAUGAAAUGUUUUAACAUGCUUAGAAGUUCUUUCACUUUAAAACCUUCUAAGUCAUGUCAAGUAUGAUUGGAUAAACUGUUCUUCAAGUUAUGAAAUGUUUUAAAGUUGUAGCCCACUAAGUACAUUAGUACUUAGCCCAAAUAUUUUCAAAUGUUUUCAGGUUAACGGCAGGUGAUGACGGGGCAGAGCUGAGGCUAAGGUUCAACUCCGUGUUUUGACAUCCGCUGUAGAAUUGCCAGUAUCUAUCUUUUGUUUUCCUUAACUUAAGACCUUUAUGUUGUGACUCUAAACAAUAUAUAUAUUGUUGAGCCGAGACUUUUAAUUCACAAGUAUUUCAUUCUAAAUGUUGGUUAUCUGAAGCAUGACACUAAACUUGUGAUCCUGAAGUUUAUGCUUGUUGAUUGAUUCGUAUCACUUGAAUACAUGUCUUUCUUCAUCCAAAGGGGCUAAGCCCGAUUGUUAUCCAUUUUAUUCGGAUUUCACAAGGAUUUUUCCUUGUUCAUUUAGAUGAUUAGUCGUACCCCAGUUAUAGUUGUUGUUUCAAGAAUUGGGGUGUGACAUAUACGGUGGGAAUUUUGAAAUAAUAUGUUUCCAAAAAUUCAUAUGAAUUUUGAAUUGUUUUAUUAUUUGUAAUGAGCAGUCUCCUUUAUUUAUUUAUUUAUUAUUAUUUCUUAAUUGAGUAUAUUAUGACGGGUAGUUAUGUUAUGAUUUAAUUAUUUCAGCAUUUAUCAUUUGUGAAAUUAAAGGAUUAAAGUUUGCAUUCACGUAUAAUUGUGUUCAAUUCGUACAAAGUGAUUCUGGAUUAGUGUUAUAUAUCUUAUGAAUUGUAGCUAUAUUCUCUAUUGUAUUAAGUCUAUAUAUGGGGAGGUUUGGAUUGGUGAUUUAUGUAUAUAUAUUGUGUAUGCCCCUAGUGUCAAGGGGAAGGGUAAACAGGUUGCAAACUACGAAAGGAAUGCUGAAAGUUCAAGCCAAAUGAAAAUACUUGAAGGUUUAGAUUAUUUAUUAAUUUUAUAUAUGUAUACUGGUAUUAUGAUGAUGAAUGUCGUGCUGAAAUAGUAUUUAUACAUGAAAUAUGUAUGUACGAAGCUUCGGAAUGAUUCAAUAUUAACAGGGUUUUUGCGAGCGAUGGUUGAUGGUUUGUCUUAUUAAUUAUAAAAUAGUUUGUCGUAUUUGUUCUGGAUAUUUGCAGUUUCAUUUAAAUUUCAUAUUGAAUGUUGAUUCGUGUUUAUUGUUCAAUCAG
rnacentral:lncRNA from 1 species